UUACGAUCAUAGCACGUAGAAAUGCCGGUUCCCAUAGGAUCACCGAAGUUAAGCAACGUUGAGCCUGGUCAGUACCUAGAUGGGUGACCGCUUGGGAAUAUCAGGUAC